GGGAGAUAUGGGUUAUGAAAUCGAGAAAACUGUUUUACUCAAAUUAAUUGGAGGUUCUUUUUGAGAAUGGAUUCAAGAACAACGACUAUUCAAGAUAUACUGGGUCUCAUGCAGAAAAAUUUAGAAUGUUCCAUUUGCUUAGAUUUGCUGACAAAUCCAGUAUCCACAAAAUGUGAUCAUCCAUUUUGCAGGUUCUGCAUCACAGAAUUCCUGAAGACUAAGACCUCUGUGCCAUGUCCUCUUUGUAAAUGUCCAAUCACAAAACGG